UAAACGUGGUGUAGUUUGGGGUACAUUUCUUCCUUCCUGAGGCAACCCAGGAACCUGGCUGCUGCAAGCCAUUGCAGGCUGGCAGAGGUCUGAACUCCUGUGAAAAUCUGAUCGUGUCUGGGUGAGGAGCCCUUCUCCCAGGCUCCUGUAGCAGCUUAUGUGUUUCCCGUGAACCCACCAUACCUCUUUCCUACCACACCAUGAUCGCCCAUUUAUCAUUUCUAGAAUCUUCCUGAUUACAAAGGAGGCUCUCGGAGGCCAGGGACUGUAUCUGCCCAGAUCACCAUUUUAUUUCCCUUGCUUAGCUCAUUGCCUGGAAGAUAAUAGGUGUUCAAUAUUUACUGAAUAAAUAAAUGAAAAUCAUAAAGCUUU